rnacentral:rRNA from 1 species
AUGGCUUCUUUUCACAUCCUUGCCCAUUUAAAUGGUGUGGACGGGAUUGUGACACUUGCACUAGUGUUUGGCACUGGUGUGCUAGAGUACCUUGCACCAAAAAUUAUGGACUGGUCUGAAAAGAUCAAGUGGCCUGACAGGGUGCUCCAACACAACGUUAUAGGAUACUUUUCCCGCAACAGAAGGCAUGCUAUGUUGAUUAGAUUUGCAAGAUUGUUUCAAUGCAAGGACUUGCUUGACCAAAUUUGGUGUAUGGAGCCUUGCUACUCGCCUAUGGACAUCACAAAGUUGGUCCAUCAACAUGUUCAAGAUGGGUGGAAGGAAUACAUACAUGAUGCUGAGAGUUACAGGGAGUUCAACGACAUAAGAGGCCAGUGGAUACUUGUCCAUGAGAGCUGUGAUGAAAGCUUGGGCUGGAGCUUAGAGAAGCCGUUUGAUGAGAGUGUCCUUCUCUGGCACCUGGCCACAGAUUUCUGCUUUUAUCAGAUGGACACACCCCCUGAUCAUGAAUGUGUUUCUCGAUGUAGAGAAAUAUCAAAUUAUAUGAUGCACCUAUUGUUUAUGAAUCCAGAGAUGCUAAUGCCAGGUAGCCGGAGGAGUCUUUUCAAAACUGUAUAUCGAGAACUUAGGGACAUCCUGAAGGGCGACGGCACGUCACGCCAGGGGAAGAGGCUUGUGCAGAAAAUCAUUGACAAGCUGAAGUCCAAUGAAGGUGGGAAAGAAACUUUUAUUCAUGAUGCUUGGUUACUUGCUCAAGGAUUAAUAGAUAUAGGUGAUGAGAGAAAGACAUGGAAGGUGAUCCAAGGAGUGUGGUUGGAGAUGCUCUGCUUUUCGGCUGGCAGAUGUCGAGGGUACUUGCAUGCCAAGUCCCUAGGCUCCGGUGUGGAGUAUCUCUCUUAUGUUUGGCUCCUCCUGGCAGAUAUGGGGAUGGAGACAUUCUCAGAGAGGAUUCAACGUUCCAUGUCCGUUAAUUUGUUGAAACGGAGAACAGAGCACCUUCCGAACACAGUGUCAGAUAGUAACACCUUAUUUGUUUCCCCGGAUGAAGGCGCCGACCACUUCGAUGAAAUUGUUGUCCUACCAUAA